UACACACCUCAGAGCCAACUUCAAUAAAGAAUUUUAUUCUAAAUUUACUACUAAAUCCACCUUAAUAAUAUUUUACAUACACUAAUCCGUAUAAUUAUAAUUUAUUGUAACCCACUUCUCCCAUACUUAUAAGCUGCACCUUGACCUGAAGUCAUAAAUUUAAAAUUAAUUAGACUAUAUUUUCUAAAAAUAAUCUGACAACGGCGGUAUACAAACUGAAUACAAAAGCAUGUACAUUUAAACGUGGAAUAUCAAUUCAAGAGCAGGUUCCUCUAGUAAGAAUGAAAUACCGCCAAAUUCUUUAGGUUUCAAUAAUCUACUACCCUGGCAAUAAACUUAAUAAAGA
rnacentral:rRNA from 1 species